AAGACAUGUCCCUUAGUUAGUGUCUCAUGUAAAACUAUAAAUACAUUCUAAAUAUAUCCAAUAAAGACGUGUCGUUUUCGUUUUAUAAGAGUACGAGUAAUACGUGUCAAGCAAGAAACAAAGAGAAAUAUAUAAACAUAGUAAAAUCUGUGUUGUCUGAUCCUUAACAACUUUGAGAGUUAAAAGAUCUACAAAGCACACACAAUUCCUUAUACUCAGGCUCCCUCUAGCUAUAUUCCUCUCGGCGCACAUGCUUCUCAGGCAUCCCCACCAACACAUACUUAUGCACCAGUGGCUGCGCCGGUCCAGGAACCCGCUACUGCUUACAACAGGUUUUCCUGAUCCUGUCGGUAUUGCUAGUCCAUUUGCUACUCAAGUUUAUUAGAGAUAUAUCUCUAAUAAAAUUUUAGCGUUUGGCUCGUGUCUGAAUAAUGUUUACAUGUUUAUGUUUUGGGUCUGUGAGUCAGUGACAUUAGAUUUACUUCUUCAGUUGCCUUAAAAAGUUCUUGGAUCUUAGAUAAUUAAAUGAUAUAUAUAACCAUUUUCUUUGUGUUGUGGUCUUUCUAAAAUUUAAUGGCUUUUGUUUUUUGUAUGUAGUGUACAUAUAGCAAAUUCUUACUUUGUAUGUUUCACGUAGACUAUUUUUUGAGAAACUCCCUACUUCUGAGAUGGUGGACUGGCCCAUGAUUUAUUAAUGUUGUUAUAACGUCCCGACCGUCCAUGGCUAAUGGGCCACCCACGCCCCCUCUCUCGGCCCGUGGGCUCUAUCCCAUCCGACGGUCGGUCCGUUAAUUUCUGAAGGCUCGAAAUCAUUGUUUAGUGACCCUGCAAUCACCACCCGACAUUUCCCCGUGCUUUAGCCUCACUCGCACGGUAUCGCGAAUCACUUUCCGAUAGGUCACCCAUCCUUUCACUACUCCAGCCCAAGCACACUUAACUCUAGAGUUCUAAACGGAUGUGUGACGGAAAAGGUAAGUCAAUUUUGGUGACAUAGAUAGCCAUGACAUAAAUAGCCAAAUCAAUUCUCUUAAGCCUUUUCAUAUAUCAACUCGGGAAGUUACAGUUGUACUAUCAACUAAGUGGAUAGCCAAGAGCAUAACAUGCUUAUCAAUGGGAUUGAGACAUGGGCGCCUCUUUUGUUAAAGGGAGCGGUCGUUGAUUUGAUUUUUCAUCUCUGAACAUUGCCAAAAAAAUGCAUGUUGGUCAUAUGAGAUCAACAAUCAUGGGUGACGCCAUAGCUCGGAUGCUAGAGUGCUCAAAUGUUGAAGUUCUACUUAUAAACCAUGUUGGUGACUGGGGACACAUGUACUCUUCUAAUGGUUUCGUUAACUUUGAAAACAGAGUGUUGUUGUAUCCCAAAUCUAGAUUCAAAGAGACUAAAGUUUGUGCUUAUUCAGUAGUUUGAAAUGUGAGUUGAGUACCUCUUUGAGAAGUUCUGUGAUUCAGAUCGUGCUGGUGAGAUAUCCACUGGUGACCUACAGGUCAGACGCUGACACCAGAGGAGAUAGUCCAAACAGCUGAGGUAGUUGGAUAUGGUCCGGUGACGUAACUAGUC